CAGCUCCAAUAGCGUAUAUUAAAGUUGUUGCGGUUAAAAAGCUCGUAGUUGGACCUUGGGCCUGGACGGGCGGUCCGCCUCACGGCGUGUACUGUCUUGCCGGGCCUUUCCUCUUGGUGAUCUGUUGUUUCGGCAGCAGGGAACCAGGACCUUUACUUUGAAAAAAUUAGAGUGUUCAAAGCAGGCUCGACGCCGGAAUAUAUUAGCAUGGAAUAAUAAAAUAGGACGUGCGGUUCUAUUUUGUUGGUUUUUGGAAUCGCCGUAAUGAUUAAUAGGGACAGUCGGGGGCAUUAGUACUCACAUGCUAGAGGUGAAAUUCUUGGAUUUUGUGAAGACUAACUUCUGCGAAAGCAUUUGCCAAGGAUGUUUUCAUUAAUCAAGAACGAAGGUUAGGAUAUCGAAAACGAUUAGAUACCGUUGUAGUCUUAACAGUAAACUAUGCCGACUAGGGAUCGGUCGAUGUUAUCUUUUUGACUCGAUCGGCACCUUACGAGAAAUCAAAGUUUUUGGGUUCUGGGGGGAGUAUGGUCGCAAGGCUGAAACUUAAAGGAAUUGAC
rnacentral:rRNA from 1 species